CGCCGCUGCUGCUCCUGCGCGGUGCGGUCGUGAUAAGUCACGGCGAACUUGCCCUCCGCGCCAUUCCAAGCCACCAGGAAGCGCAGCCGGUGCCUCUCGGGAUCGGCGAAGAGGCCCUGCCGGACCGGCGCCCAGCCCUCCAAACUGUAGAGCUGCUCGUCCUCCAUGGCCGUCGGCAGCAGCGGCCCUAGGGCUCGGCGGGCGCGGGCCUGACCUCGUCGCACUGCCUGUCAGGGGACAGUCCCAGGCAUAACUGAAGGUGAAAGGACAGAAUCACAGUGUGUUACUGGCACAGAUGCAUCGGCUAGUGAAGAAAGAAGACAUUCAAACUGGCUGAAGCAGUGCCUACUCAAUAGAACCAGUCAUCGUGCAAAGAAAUGCCGCCUGACUCAAAGGCAAAGCCAGAGUGCAGCUUGGAGCAAAGAAGUUUGUGUUGAAG
rnacentral:lncRNA from 1 species